UACAGAGGUCUCAAGCGUUGUUCGGAUUCAUUGGGCGUAAAGGGUGUGUAGGUGGCGCCGUAAGUCGGGUGUGAAAUUUCGGAGCUUAACUCCGAAACUGCAUUCGAUACUGCGGUGCUUGAGGACUGGAGAGGAGACUGGAAUUCAUGGUGUAGCAGUGAAAUGCGUAGAGAUCAUGAGGAAGACCAGUGGCGAAGGCGGGUCU
rnacentral:rRNA from 1 species